UAAAUUGCUGUGGUAUUAUGACUAUACGAAGGUAUUGAAAUAAGGCUUUAAUUGAGUGCUAAGAGAAUGGUUAUACAAAGGUCAUCUUUCUUUUAAUUUUUAAUAGAAUUUAAUUUAAAAAUGAAAAAGUUUUUAUGAAAUUUUGGGACAAGAAGACCCUAUGAAUUUUUUUAGGAAGUUUUAUAAAGUAUUUUUGAAUUUAUAAAUGGAGUAGGCUUUUUAAUUGAUUGGGGUGAUUUUUAAAGAAUGGUGAUCUUUAAAAUUUGUAAAUAUGAACCAAAAAUUUUGGGUGAUUGAAUAAAAUACUCUAGGGUUAACAGCGUUAUUAUUUUGGAUAGUUCAUAUAGAUAAAAUAGUUUGCGACCUCGAUGUUGGAUUAAGAUGCUUUUAUAAUGUAGCUGUUAUAAUAAGAAGUUUGCUCAACUUUUAAAUUCUUACUU
rnacentral:rRNA from 1 species